rnacentral:rRNA from 1 species
AUUGAACGCUGGCGGCAGGCCUAACACAUGCAAGUCGAACGCGUCGCGGAGGUGAGAGCUAUGUCUGGGAAUCUGCCUGGUGGAGGGGUAUAUACUCUGGAAACGGUAGCUAACAGCGCAAACUCACAGAUGUCCCCAGAUGGGUAUCUCUAGUUGGUGGGGUAACGGCGCACCAAGGCGACGACCCCUAGCUGGUCUGAGAGGAUGACCGGCAAAACUGGAACUGAGACACGGUCCAGACUCCUACGGGAGGCAGCAGUGGGGAAUAUUGCACAAUGGGCGCAAGCCUGAUGCAGCCAUGCCGCGUGUGUGAAGAAGGCCUUCGGGUUGUAAAGUACUUUCAGCGGGGAGGCGUUACCCGCAGAAGAAGCACCGGCUAACUCCGUGCCAGCCGCCGCGGUAAUUC